UAUAUAGAAGAUAGUGUGCAUUAUGAUGGAACCUUCAUGCGUAUAUACAUAUAAUCAUUUACUGAGAUAUAUAUGUUCUGAUGAGCAUUGAGCUAAGUAUACUCAACAUGAAUAUAACCUGGCAGGCUAAUUAAUAUAAAUUCGGUGUUCUCACAAUGUUGCAUUGGAGCUAUAUGUAUAGUUGCUAAUAAUUAAUCCACCAAUGUGGAAAUGAGGAUCCUGAGCUGGCAUACAAUUAAUCUAUCUUUUUUUUUCUACUUCGUGUAGUACACUAGUAAAAGUAGGCAGUGCUAGCUGGGAGUACUCCUCUUUCACAGGUCUUGUGUUUGUUUCGGGGUCGGGAUAGAACCAAUUCAUGUGUCAUAUGGCAGGUAAUGGUGAAUUUUUCUAGGAAGAGGAGACAAGCAAUGGCGUGGUUUCAUAUAUGUAUAUAACAGAUGUCACAGGUUUACUGUUCACGAUUAUGUCUGAAUUGCCAGAAGUGCAUGAUCAGUACAUGCCUGUAAGAUUUGUCUCGUCAUGACCUAUUUAUAGCUGUCAUAGAAAAAAAAACUACAAGACAACGAAGGUACGUAUGUUUGUACUGCAUAUUGUUAACAAGUUAAUCAAGUUUACUUUUAGGCGUUAUGGGGUACAGCUGUAGCUUCUUGUUGGUCUAGCAUUGAUCAACCAUUCUUAGCGGUAGUCGGUUUGUUACUAUACUAGCCCUUUUCUCAGUAGUGUGGGAAGGCGUCAGUGCGUAGUGGAGGUGUUUUUUUUUUCUUUUCUGGACUAUAACCUCCUAGUUGUAGUUCUGUAAUUUUUUUUUCUUGUUACAUCCAAUGAAACUUCAUAUUGUCUAAGUGUCGGUUCAUUGGAAGAAAACAUCAUCAAGUAUACUUUUAUGUUGUGAAAUAGGAGUAGCAAAACUGAGGAAAAUGUUCCUAUCAGUACAAAUAAGACUUCAAAGAUAUAG
rnacentral:sRNA from 1 species